GACGAACGCUGGCGGCGUGCUUAACACAUGCAAGUCGAACGGAAAGGCCCUGCUUUUGUGGGGUGCUCGAGUGGCGAACGGGUGAGUAACACGUGAGUAACCUGCCCUUGACUUUGGUAUAACUUCAGGAAACUGGGGCUAAUACCGGAUAGGAGCUCCUGCUGCAUGGUGGUGGUUGGAAUGUUUCGGCGGUUGGGGAUGGACUCGCGGCUUAUCAGCUUGUUGGUGGGUUAGUGGCUUACCAAGGCGUUGAGGGGUAGCCGGCCUGAGUGGGUGACCGGCAAAAUGGGGACGGAGAUACGGCCAAGACUCCUACGGGAGGAAGAAGUGGGGAAUAUUGCAAAAUGGGCGGAAGCCUGAUGAAGCAACGCCGCGUGCGGGAUGACGGCCUUCGGGUUGUAAACCGCUUUCGCAUGUGACGAAGCGUGAGUGACGGUAAUGGGUAAAGAAGCACCGGCUAACUACGUG
rnacentral:rRNA from 1 species